rnacentral:rRNA from 1 species
UACGGAGGGGGCUAGCGUUGUUCGGAAUUACUGGGCGUAAAGCGCACGUAGGCGGAUCAGCAAGUUAGGGGUGAAAUCCCGGGGCUCAACCCCGGAACUGCCUUUAAGACUGUUGGUCUGGAGUCCGAGAGAGGUGAGUGGAAUUCCGAGUGUAGAGGUGAAAUUCGUAGAUAUUCGGAAGAACACCAGUGGCGAAGGCGACUUACUGGACACAUAUUGACGCUGAGGUGCGAAAGCGUGGGGAGCAAACAGG